rnacentral:misc_RNA from 1 species
GUAGGUGAACCUGCGGAAGGAUCAUUACUGCUACCUCUGCCAUCCCCUUAACCCGGGAUGCGUAGACACGCCACCCUUGUAUAAUAUAUAUUGUUGCUUUGGCAGGCCGCCUUCGGGCACCGGCUUCGGCUGGACUGUGCCUGCCAGAGGAUACCAAACCCUGAAUGUUAAUGUCGUCUGAGUACUAUUUAAUAGUUAAAACUUUCAACAACGGAUCUCUUGGUUCUG